rnacentral:rRNA from 1 species
AACGAACGCUGGCGGCAGGCCUAACACAUGCAAGUCGAGCGCGCCCUUCGGGGUGAGCGGCGGACGGGUGAGUAACGCGUGGGAACGUGCCCUUUUCUACGGAAUAGCCUCGGGAAACUGAGAGUAAUACCGUAUACGCCCUUUGGGGGAAAGAUUUAUCGGAAAAGGAUCGGCCCGCGUUGGAUUAGGUAGUUGGUGGGGUAAUGGCCUACCAAGCCGACGAUCCAUAGCUGGUUUGAGAGGAUGAUCAGCCACACUGGGACUGAGACACGGCCCAGACUCCUACGGGAGGCAGCAGUGGGGAAUCUUAGACAAUGGGGGCAACCCUGAUCUAGCCAUGCCGCGUGAGUGAUGAAGGCCUUAGGGUUGUAAAGCUCUUUCAGCCGGGAAGAUAAUGACGGUACCAGCAGAAGAAGCCCCGGCUAACUCCGUG